GUAACAAGGUUUCCGUAGGUGAACCUGCGGAAGGAUCAUUACAGAAAUAGGAGAAGGUUGCUUAACUGCAAUCCUUUUCUUUCUACACAUGUGUUUUUCUUUUUUUUGAAAACUUUGCUUUGGUGGGCCCACGGCCUGCCAGAGAUUAAACUCAACCAAAUUUUUAUUUAAUUGUCAACUUGAUUAACUAAUAGUCAAAACUUUCAACAACGGAUCUCUUGGUUCUCGCAUCGAUGAAGAACGCAGCGAAAUGCGAUAAGUAAUAUGAAUUGCAGAUAUUCGUGAAUCAUCGAAUCUUUGAACGCACAUUGCGCCCUUUGGUAUUCCAAAGGGCAUGCCUGUUUGAGCGUCAUUUCUCCCUCAAACCUUCGGGUUUGGUGUUGAGCGAUACGCUGGGUUUGCUUGAAAGAAAGGCGGAGUAUAAACUAAUGGAUAGGUUUUUUUUUUCCACUCAUUGGUACAAACUCCAAACAUUCUUCCAAAUUCGACCUCAAAUCAGGUAGGACUACCCGCUGAACUUAAGCAUAUCA
rnacentral:misc_RNA from 1 species